rnacentral:rRNA from 1 species
ACGGGAGGCAGCAGUGGGGAAUAUUGCACAAUGGGGGAAACCCUGAUGCAGCGACGCCGCGUGAAGGAAGAAGUAUCUCGGUAUGUAAACUUCUAUCAGCAGGGAAGAAAAUGACGGUACCUGACUAAGAAGCCCCGGCUAACUACGUGCCAGCAGCCGCGGUAGUACGUAGGGGGCAAGCGUUAUCCGGAUUUACUGGGUGUAAAGGGAGCGUAGACGGAAUUGCAAGUCUGAUGUGAAAGGCAUGGGCUCAACCCGUGGACUGCAUUGGAAACUGUGAUUCUUGAGUGCCGGAGGGGUAAGCGGAAUUCCUGGUGUAGCGGUGAAAUGCGUAGAUAUCAGGAGGAACACCGGUGGCGAAGGCGGCUUACUGGACGGCAACUGACGUUGAGGCUCGAAGGCGUGGGGAGCAAACAGGAUUAGAUACCCUGGUA